AGUUAGCUGACGAGUCCCAAAUAGGAUGAAAUGUGCAUCCUGGAU
rnacentral:hammerhead_ribozyme from 1 species